CCCUUAGAUGUCCUGGGCCGCACGCGCGCUACACUGAACGGAUCAGUGCGUUUUCCCUUCCCGAGAGGGACGGGUAACCUGCUGAACCCCGUUCGUGGUAGGGAUCGGGGCUUGCAAUUAUUCCCCGUGAACCAGGAAUGCCCAGUAAGUGCAAGUCAUAAGCUUGCGUUGAUUACGUCCCUGCCCUUUGUACACACCGCCCGUCGCUACUACCGAUUGAACGUUUUAGUGAGGUACUCGGACUGAGCCUCAGAAGAUUCACGUCUUUUGUGCUGCUCGGGAAGAUUCCCAAACUUGAGCGUUUAGAGGAAGUAAAAGUCGUANCA
rnacentral:rRNA from 1 species